rnacentral:lncRNA from 10 species
CGCCUGGUCUUUGAGGACUCAGAGGAACUGGCAGCUCAGCUGCAGAUGCUUUUCUCAAACUUUCCUGAUCCUGAAGGCAAGCUAAACCAGUUCCGGAAGAACCUGCGGGAGUCGCAGCAGCUCUGAUGGGAUGAGAGCUGGGUGCAGACUGUGCUCCCUUUGGUUAUGGACACAUAACUCCUGGGCCAGAGGCUAAAACCCCAGGGCCCCUGCUGUCCUUCCCGCAGCUUCUUCUUGGAGUCUCAGGGCAAACCCUUUCAAGCAGCGCCUCCCAGUGGCCAGAAGCUGAAAUGACGGCAGUGGUGCCACCUGGUGAAUGACCCGGGAAGCUGUGGUUGGCCCUGAUUUCUUCUUUGGAGUCUCAGAAAUGCUUCCUGUCUUCUUCUGUUCUUCACGCCCCAUGUCCCUGCUAGCGUAUUACUGUUCUGUGACUUCCCUGUGACCUCUGCAGUACUCCUCAUCCUGCAUUUGGUCUCCAGGUGUCACCUUUCUGCCAUGUUCCUAACACUUUGAUUCCUG